UACGUAGGUGGCAAGCGUUAUCCGGAUUUACUGGGUUUAAAGGGUGCGUAGGUGGGUCUGUAAGUCAGUGGUGAAAUCUCCGAGCUUAACUCGGAAACUGCCAUUGAUACUAUGGAUCUUGAAUUAUCUGGAGGUAAGCGGAAUAUGUCAUGUAGCGGUGAAAUGCUUAGAUAUGACAUAGAACACCAAUUGCGAAGGCAGCUUACUACGGAUCGAUUGACACUGAGGCACGAAAGCGUGGGGAUCAAACAGG
rnacentral:rRNA from 1 species